rnacentral:rRNA from 1 species
GACGAACGCUGGCGGCGUGCUUAACACGUGCAAGUCGAACGGUGACGAGGAGCUUGCUCCUCCGAUCAGUGGCGAACGGGUGAGUAACACGUGAGUAACCUGCCCCAGACUCUGGAAUAACAGUUGGAAACAGCUGCUAAUACCGGAUACGAGACGGAGAGGCAUCUCUACCGUCUGGAAAGUUUUUCGGUCUGGGAUGGACUCGCGGCCUAUCAGCUUGUUGGUGAGGUAAUGGCUCACCAAGGCGACGACGGGUAGCCGGCCUGAGAGGGCGACCGGCCACACUGGGACUGAGACACGGCCCAGACUCCUACGGGAGGCAGCAGUGGGGAAUAUUGCACAAUGGGCGCAAGCCUGAUGCAGCAACGCCGCGUGAGGGAUGACGGCCUUCGGGUUGUAAACCUCUUUCAGUAGGGAAGAAGCGAAAGUGACGGUACCUACAGAAGAAGCACCGGCUAACUACGUG